rnacentral:rRNA from 1 species
GAUGAACGCUGGCGGCGUGCCUAAUACAUGCAAGUCGAGCGAACGGACGAGAAGCUUGCUUCUCUGAUGUUAGCGGCGGAAGGGUGAGUAACACGUGGAUAACCUACCUUUAAGACUGGGAUAACUUCGGGAAACCGGAGCUAACACCGGAUGAUAUUUUGAACCGCAUGGUUCAAAAGUGAAAGACGGUCUUGCUGUCACUUAUAGAUGGAUCCGAGCUGCUUUAGCUAGUUGGUAAGGUAACGGCUUACCAAGGCAACGAUGCAUAGCCGACCUGAGAGGGUGAUCGGUCACACGGGAACUGAGACUCGUUCCAGACUCCUACGGUAAGCAGCAGUAGGGAAUCUUCCGCGAUGGACGAGAGCCUGACGGUGCAACGCCGCGUGAGUGAUGAUGGUCUUAGGAUCGUUAAACUCUGUUAUUAGUGAAGAACAUAUGUGUAAGUAACUGUGCACAUCUUGACGGUACCUAAUCAGAAAGCCACGGCUAACUACGUG